GAUGAAGAACGUAGCGAAAUGCGAUAAGUAAUGUGAAUUGCAGAAUUCAGUGAAUCAUCGAGUCUUUGAACGCACAUUGCGCCCCCUGGUAUUCCGGGGGGCAUGCCUGUCCGAGCGUCAUUGCUGCCCUCAAGCACGGCUUGUGUGUUGGGCUCCGCCCCCCUCCCGGGGGGCGGGCCCGAAAGGCAGCGGCGGCACCGCGUCCGGUCCUCGAGCGUAUGGGGCUUUGUCACCCGCUCUGUAGGCCCGGCCGGCGCCCGCCGGCGACCCCAAUCAAUCUUUCCAGGUUGAUCUCGGAUCAGGUAGGGAUACCCGCUGAACUUAAGCAUAUCAAUAAGCGGAGGA
rnacentral:misc_RNA from 1 species